UGCUAUAGUUAUGAAAAUGGUUCGGCUAAGCCUAAAAUACAAGGAAAUUGAAUAAAAAUUAUUUCCCGAAUCUAGGGGCAAAAUCAUAAUUUUAUGAAACUUUAGGGGCAAAAUUGUAAAUUUUGCCAUAGGAUGUUUUUGGGUUAAUUUGAAUAAUGUGAGCAUUUUAAUAAGUCAAAAGUUUUAUUAUAGACCAAGAAAGACGUGGAAUCGACCUUGAUCGGGGAAAUGAAAAGAUUGUGGACUAAAAUGCAAAAUUU
rnacentral:lncRNA from 1 species